rnacentral:rRNA from 1 species
UGUGUCAGCCGCCGCGGUAAGACAGAGGUGGCAAGCGUUGCUCGGAAUCACUGGGCUUAAAGGGUGUGUAGGCGGUUCGGUAAGCAUCUUGUGAAAGCCCACGGCUCAACCGUGGAACUGCAGGAUGGACUGCCGGACUUGAGGCGCGUAGAGGUCACUGGAACUCUGGGUGGAGCGGUGAAAUGCGUAGAUAUCCAGGGGAACGCCAAUGGCGAAGGCAGGUGACUGGGCGCGUCCUGACGCUGAGGCACGAAAGCGUGGGGAGCGAACGGGAUUAGAUACCCCGGUAGUCCACGCCCUAAACGAUGUACACUGGCUUCGAGGACUUCUGACAGUGUUCGAAGCGUAGGGAAACCGUUAAGUGUACCGCCUGGGGAGUACGGUCGCAAGAUUAAAACUCAAAGGAAUUGACGGGGGCCCGCACAAGCC